rnacentral:rRNA from 1 species
CCUACGGGGGGCAGCAGUGGGGAAUAUUGGGCAAUGGGCGCAAGCCUGACCCAGCAACGCCGCGUGAAGGAAGAAGGCAUUCGGGUUGUAAACUUCUUUUAAGAGGGAAGAGCAGAAGACGGGACCUCUUGAAUAAGCCACGGCUAACUACGUGCCAGCAGCCGCGGGAAUACGUAGGGGGCAAGCGUUGUCCGGAUUGACUGGGUGGAAAGGGCGUGCAGGCGGGAAGACAAGUCAGAGGUGAAAUCCCGCGGCGCAACCGCGGAACUGCAUUUGAAACUGUUUUUCUUGAGUACCGGAGAGGUCAUCGGAAUUCCUUGUGUAGCGGUGAAAUGCGUAGAUAUCAGGCAGAACACCAGUGGCGACGGCGGCUGACUGGACGGCCACUGACGGUGAGGCGCG